rnacentral:rRNA from 1 species
UACGGAGGAUCCAAGCGUUAUCCGGAAUCAUUGGGUUUAAAGGGUCCGUAGGCGGUCUUAUAAGUCAGUGGUGAAAUCUCCCCGCUCAACGGGGAAACGGCCAUUGAUACUGUAGGACUUGAAUUAUUAGGAAGUAACUAGAAUAUGUAGUGUAGCGGUGAAAUGCUUAGAGAUUACAUGGAAUACCAAUUGCGAAGGCAGGUUACUACUAAUGGAUUGACGCUGAUGGACGAAAGCGUGGGUAGCGAACAGGAUUAGAUACCCUGGUAGUCAAGGGCG